GACGAGGGGGGCAAGCGUUGUUCGGAAUUACUGGGCGUAAAGGGUGCGUAGGCUGUUAGCAAAGUCAAUUGUUUAAUUUUGUGGCUCAACCACAAGUCUGCAAUUGAUACUGGUUAACUUGAGGAUGGAAGAGAGAAGUGGAAUUCUCGGAGUAGCGGUUAAAUGCGUAGAUCUCGAGAGGAACACCGGUGGCGAAGGCGGCUUCUUGGUCCAUUUCUGACGCUGAGGCACGAAAGCGUGGGGAGCAAACAGG
rnacentral:rRNA from 1 species